UAUCUAUUGAGUUGGCCAAAAAGUUUAUUCAGGUUUGUUAUCUUAGGGAAAGACCCAAACGAACUUUUUGGCCAACCCAAUAU
rnacentral:miRNA from 1 species